UUGAACGCUGGCGGCAGGCCUAACACAUGCAAGUCGAGCGGCAGCGCGGGGCAACCUGGCGGCGAGCGGCGGACGGGUGAGUAACGCGUAGGAAUCUACCCAGUAGCGGGGGAUAGCCCGGGGAAACUCGGAUUAAUACCGCAUACGCCCUAAGGGGGAAAGCAGGGGAUCGUAAGACCUUGCACUAUUGGAAGAGCCUGCGUUGGAUUAGCUAGUUGGUAGGGUAAAGGCCUACCAAGGCGACGAUCCAUAACUGGUCUGAGAGGAUGAUCAGUCACACCGGAACUGAGACACGGUCCGGACUCCUACGGGAGGCAGCAGUGGGGAAUAUUGGACAAUGGAGGCAACCCUGAUCCAGCCAUGCCGCGUGUGUGAAGAAGGCCUUCGGGUUGUAAAGCACUUUAAGUGGGGAGAAAGGUUCGGCAGCUAAUACCUGCCGGAAGUGAUGUUACCCACAGAAUAAGCACCGGCUAACUCUGUGCCAGCCGCCGCAGUAAAAC
rnacentral:rRNA from 1 species